rnacentral:rRNA from 1 species
AUUGAACGCUGGCGGCAGGCCUAACACAUGCAAGUCGAGCGGAGCGGCGGACGGGUGAGUAAUGCCUGGGAAUCUGCCUGGUAGUGGGGGAUAACGUCCGGAAACGGGCGCUAAUACCGCAUACUAUCAGAUGAGCCUAGGUCGGAUUAGCUAGUUGGUGGGGCAAAGGCACACCAAGGCGACGAUCCGUACCUGGUCUGUGAGGAUGAUCAGUAACACUGGAACAUAUACACGGUCCAGACUCCUACGGGAGGCAGCAGUGGGGAAUAUUGGACAAAGGGCGAAAGCCUGAUACAGCAAUGCCGCGUGAGUGAAGAAGGUCUUCGGAUUGUAAAGCACUUUAAGCUGGGAGGCGUUACCAACAGAAUAAGCACCGGCUAACUUCGUGCCAGCAGCCGCGGUAAUUC